AACGCACGAGACCUGCGGACCUGCGGAGGGAUCAUUAAUGAGAAACUGCCCCUCGCGGGUAGAUCUCCCACCCUUUGUAAACUUACCUUUGUUGCUUUGGCAGGCCCGUCUCCGGACCGCCGGCUUCGGCUGGCCAGUGCCUGCCAGAGGAUUCUAAAACUCUGUCUGUCAGUGUUGUCUGAGUCUAUAUACAAUCGUUAAAACUUUUAGCAACGGAUCUCUAGAUCGGAAGAGCACACG
rnacentral:misc_RNA from 1 species